GGGUUGCCAAAUUAAUAGGGACAGUCACAUUUUUUAUAAUUUUUGUUCUUCAAGUGGUCUUGACUACGUUUUUAAGUGGUAAAAGUUUUUUGCUGAUAUGUUUUUAUGUUCACCUUGUCUCUAUAACUCAAAUUCAAAGUGAAUUUCAAGUGCUGAGAGAUUUGUUUAUUUUGGAAAUAUAUUUUAAUGACGGGAGAGACACACAGUCGUUCACACGUGUAAAAGUGAAACACGUAAAUUAUUCUUUUAAACAGUUCUUUAGUGGUUUUGUGAAAUAAUCAAUACCUGCAACUUUGGCUAUGGGUCGAGGGGUAGAUUUGACUCCGAGAAAAAAAUCCGAGGUUAAAACCCUUCUCCUACACACAAAUCACUCUCAGAGGAUGAUAGCACAACUGGCCGGGAUAUCGAAAUCUGCCGUCAAUAAAAUAAAAAUAAAUUUAGAUCAAAAUCAGCCACUUUCGCCCAAAAGAAAAGGCAAAUGUGGCAGAAAA